rnacentral:rRNA from 2 species
AGGCCAAUCAAACCGGGAGAUAGCUGGUUCUCCCCGAAAGCUAUUUAGGUAGCGCCUCGUGAAUUCAUCUCCGGGGGUAGAGCACUGUUUCGGCUAGGGGGCCAUCCCGGCUUACCAACCCGAUGCAAACUGCGAAUACCGGAGAAUGUUAUCACGGGAGACACACGGCGGGUGCUAACGUCCGUCGUGAAGAGGGAAACAACCCAGACCGCCAGCUAAGGUCCCAAAGUCAUGGUUAAGUGGGAAACGAUGUGGGAAGGCCCAGACAGCCAGGAUGUUGGCUUAGAAGCAGCCAUCAUUUAAAGAAAGCGUAAUAGCUCACUGGUCGAGUCGGCCUGCGCGGAAGAUGUAACGGGGCUAAACCAUG